rnacentral:rRNA from 1 species
GACGAACGCUGGCGGCGUGCCUAACACAUGCAAGUCGAACGGGGAAGUUAGCAAUAACUUUCUAGUGGCGAACGGGUGAGUAACGCGUAGACAACCAACCUUUUUGUGGGGGACAACACUUCGCAAGGAGUGCUAAUACCGCAUAUGUUCUUAGGGUCGCCUGGCCUUAAGAAGAAAGGAGCGUUACGGCUUCGCAGAAAUACGGGUCUGCGUCUGAUUAGCUAGUUGGAGGGGUAACGGCCCACCAAGGCGACGAUCAGUAGCCGGUAUGAGAGGAUGGACGGCCACACUGGGACUGAGACACGGCCCAGACUCCUACGGGAGGCAGCAGUGGGGAAUCUUCCGCAAUGGACGAAAGUCUGACGGAGCGACGCCGCGUGAGUGAUGAAGGCCCUUGGGUCGUAAAGCUCUGUCAUCGGGGACGAACGGCUUUAUCAGGAAAUGGGUAGAGAUUGACGGUACCCGAGAAGGAAGCUACGGCUAACUACGUGCCAGCCGCCGCCGUAA